CUACGGGAUGCUCCAGUUAGGAAUAAUCUACAAUGCGCGAAAGCGUGAUAGUUUGAGCCAGAGUGCUUCUCAUUGAGAAGCUUUUGUGAGAUGUAAAAAGUCUCACGAAUAAGGACUGGGUAAGACGAGUGCCAGCCGCCGCGGUAAUACUCGCGGUCCAAGUCGCAGCCACAUUUAUUGGGUCUAAAACAUCCGUAGCUUGCUUGACAAGUUCUUUGUGAAAUCUUAUGUCUUAAACAUAAGGCGCGCGGAGAAUACUACCAAGCUAGAGACUGGGAGACGUAAGAAGUACGUUCAAAGUAGUGGUAAAAUACGUUAAUCUUGGACGGACUCACAACAGCGAAGGCAUCUUACGAGAACAGUUCUGACAGUAAGGGAUGAAAGCUAGGGGCGCAAAACGGAUUAGAUACCCGCGUAGUC
rnacentral:rRNA from 1 species